UUUAAUGAAAUUUCUUGCUCAUAAAAAAAAAAGAGAGAUACAGAAGAUGAGGAAAGCCGCAACCUAGCCCAUGCCAAUAGGCAUUCCCCAUAAGACCCGACCUAAAGCAGCAACCUCCUCACCACAAUAAGAAUAAAAACAGGCUAAAGUCAUAUCAGAUCAACAAAGACACAGCAAAAUCCAAACAAUUCUAAAAGAAAGCUAUAAAGACAUGCGAGAGUGGCCCUGGGAACAAUCGGCGGUCAAAUUUGCUACACUUAAAAAAAGACACACAUGUAUAAACCUCUGUGAUCACGGAGUACACCCCCAGUGAAACAGGAACCAGGUUUCCCCCACGAAGAGCCAUCGAUGUUCCGUUUCACAAAACCAUGUGGAGCAGACCAAAAGGGAAGUGGAUGAGACAAACUGAGAGUCUAUGAAAGACCCAAAGACUAAAGUCUUCCCCCCUUUUUUUUUUCUCCAUGGCAAAAGGCAAGCCUUCAAGAG
rnacentral:misc_RNA from 1 species